rnacentral:piRNA from 1 species
UGAGAAGAGGCAGAAUUCGGGUCC